rnacentral:rRNA from 1 species
UACGUAGGGUGCAGGCGUUAAUCGGAAUUACUGGGCGUAAAGCGUGCGCAGGCGGUUCGCCAAGUCAGGUGUGAAAUCCCCGGGCUUAACCUGGGAAUUGCGCUUGAAACUAGCGGGCUUGAGUGUGGCAGAGGGGGGUGGAAUUCCACGUGUAGCAGUGAAAUGCGUAGAUAUGUGGAGGAACACCGAUGGCGAAGGCAGCCCCCUGGGUUAACACUGACGCUCAUGCACGAAAGCGUGGGGAGCAAACAGG